CGGACGGGUGGGUAACACGUGGAUAACCUACCUAUAAGACUGGGAUAACUUCGGGAAACCGGAGCUAAUACCGGAUAAUAUUUUGAACCGCAUGGUUCAAAAGUGAAAGACGGUCUUGCUGUCACUUAUAGAUGGAUCCGCGCUGCAUUAGCUAGUUGGUAAGGUAACGGCUUACCAAGGCAACGAUGCAUAGCCGACCUGAGAGGGUGAUCGGCCACACUGGAACUGAGACACGGUCCAG
rnacentral:rRNA from 1 species